ensembl:snRNA LOC120102124 U4 spliceosomal RNA
AGCUUUGCGCAGUGGCAGUAUCUUAGCCAAUGAGGUUUAUCCGAGGCGCGAUUAUUGCUAAUUGAAAACAAAGUGUAUACAAAAACACAUGGCUUAAACCCAAAUUUUAGUCUGUUUCCAACUAUGGA